CGCUGGCGGCAGGCUUAACACAUGCAAGUCGAGCGGUAGCACAGGGGAGCUUGCUCCCUGGGUGACGAGCGGCGGACGGGUGAGUAAUGUCUGGGAAACUGCCUGAUGGAGGGGGAUAACUACUGGAAACGGUAGCUAAUACCGCAUAACGUCGCAAGACCAAAGAGGGGGACCUUCGGGCCUCUUGCCAUCAGAUGUGCCCAGAUGGGAUUAGCUAGUAGGUGGGGUAAUGGCUCACCUAGGCGACGAUCCCUAGCUGGUCUGAGAGGAUGACCAGCCACACUGGAACUGAGACACGGUCCAGACUCCUACGGGAGGCAGCAGUGGGGAAUAUUGCACAAUGGGCGCAAGCCUGAUGCAGCCAUGCCGCGUGUGUGAAGAAGGCCUUCGGGUUGUAAAGCACUUUCAGCGAGGAGGAAGGUGGUGAGCUUAAUACGCUCAUCAA
rnacentral:rRNA from 1 species